GACGCGCUUCCUGGACAACGCCGGCCAGAGGCCCCGAACGCGAGGGCGAGCGCCGGUUUCGCGACCUCUCGGCGGAGCCUGGCCCUCCCACGAACUCAGCUCGGAAGACCCAGGCCCUGCGUCCCACUGGCUCCGGCCUCGCUCGGCGCCUCCCAGCUGAGGGACCGAGGAGGGUGCCCUGACUCGGGCCGCUCCACAGUGCGCUCAGCCGCCGCUGCCUUUGGAGGUGGCGUCUGGGCCACAGCGGAGGCUGCACUUGCCGCUGUUCACUCGCCCCCUGCGCCGCGACUUCUUCCUUUUUGGGUCAGUGGGACCCGGGCGACAGCCAGAUUCCUCAGAUGGUCCGUGCCUUGCAGCUGCGGAUCCUCCGUGCGUUGCCCAGCUCCCAGGACUUUCCUCCCCGUCCAGGCUGAGCGCCGCGGGAGCUCCAUCUUUGUGGCGCCCUGAGAGUCUCCCAGACUUCGCUGGAGCAGAGCCUCGGCCUCUUUGCCUUUCCUGGCCCUCCUAAGUUCUGAAAUGGCAGCAUUGUGCCAAGUAAUGGUCGAAGAAUGUAGGCGACUCCUGGAAGGACAUUUGCAAAUUAGUGGAAAAAUUGGUGAAGAGCCCUGAAUUGCGGGUUUCACUCAUCACCUACUCCUCAUAUGGAAACACCAUCCUGUGGCUCAAUAAAGACAGGAAUGUAAUACGGAAUGCUCUUAAAAGACUUCGGGAUAUAGUGCCUGCAGGACCCGCAAAAAUGCAGGAAGGAUUUAAAAAGGCAAAUAUGCAGAUUCAGAAAGUUUUCUACCCAAACAGGAAAGCUUCCAGCCUGAUUUACACUCUGACUGCUGGACCACUGCAGCCAUCGGCACUACAGGAGACUAAGAAGCAAUUCGUGGGAAAUUCCUGUAAGGACGUUAUGGGUGGAGACACAUUCUAUGCUUGUGUAGGAGAAUCCUACCAACUUGGGUUUUUCGCACAAGGCCUAAAUCCACAAAAAAUUGGAGAAUAUAUUUGCAGAUAUAAUUUCAGCGAAUCCAUAAUCUACAGUGCACCAGCACCAAGGUCUCCCACAGGAGAACCAGUACCAUGGUCCUGGGAUCCUCUGCUGACCGAUACACUGCACCUGGUGGGAGGCUGAUCAGAAGUGUCCCAGCAAACUGUUUGUUGCCGUAAGCCCUGAUGCCCUGAUGAGGACUGAUUUGCUUGACUCUCAUUGUAUUUUCCUCUGUUUAAAACAUCUGGGAAAACAUUUUAGUAAAUAUAGGAGUUCCCAUC
rnacentral:lncRNA from 1 species